UAGGGAAUCUUCCGCAAUGGACGAAAGUCUGACGGAGCAACGCCGCGUGAGCGAAGAAGGUUUUCGAAUCGUAAAGCUCUGUCCUAUGGGAAGAUAAUGACGGUACCAUAGGAGGAAGCCCCGGCUAACUACGUGCCAGCAGCCGCGGUAAUACGUAGGGGGCAAGCGUUGUCCGGAAUCACUGGGCGUAAAGGGUUCGCAGGCGGAAAUGCAAGUCAGUUGUGAAAGGCAGAGGCUCAACCUCUGUAAGCAAUUGAAACUGUAUUUCUUGAGAGGUGGAGAGGCAAGUGGAAUUCCUAGUGUAGCGGUGAAAUGCGUAGAUAUUAGGAAGAAUACCGGUGGCGAAGGCGACUUGCUGGACACAAACUGACGCUGAGGAACGAAAGCGUGGGUAGCAAACAGG
rnacentral:rRNA from 1 species